UACAGAGGGUGCAAGCGUUGUUCGGAAUUAUUGGGCGUAAAGGGCGCGUAGGCGGUGCGGUAAGUCUGCGGUGAAAUCUCUCGGCUCAACUGGGAGUCUGCCGUGGAAACUGCAUGACUUGAGUUUGGUAGAGGCUAGCGGAAUUCCUGGUGUAGCGGUGGAAUGUGUAGAUAUCAGGAAGAACACCUGUGGCGAAGGCGGCUAGCUGGGCCAAUACUGACGCUGAGACACGAAAGCGCGGGGAGCAAACGGG
rnacentral:rRNA from 1 species